AUAUCCGCAGCUCCUCCAAGCUGCGAUUGUCCCUCAGCGCGGCCGCGAGGGCUGCACCACCCUGAGGCCCAAUGCCUGACUCGGCGAGGCGGGCGAUGCUGGGGUUGGUUUCGAGCAGCUCUCGGAGAUGUUUCAUUUCCUGCAGCUCCCAUUGCAUAAGGUGGAAUUCUAUGUUUCUCAAUGUUGGAUUUGUGAGGAGUUUGAGGAAGCGUGUGAGGCUGUUUUUGGAUAUGUUUAAGUUGAUGGAGUUUGCUGUUUCUUGAAAACAAGAUGAAGGUGGCUCCGAUAGGGUGAAAGAGACAGUGUCGACGUCGAGGCUGCCGGAUUCCAGCCCUUGCGCUGCCCAUUCCAGAUCUUUGAAGUCUGCCAUUUUUUGUGUGGUGUUAUUGCAUUUUUUUUUGGUUUGGUUUUGAGUUUGAUUGAGUUUUAGUUUGUUUGUUGUUCUUGGAUUCUUUACUGGUCAUUCUUUGCUUGACUUUUUAAA